rnacentral:rRNA from 1 species
UACGGAGGGUGCAAGCGUUAUCCGGGUUUAUUGGGUUUAAAGGGUCCGUAGGCGGACUCGUAAGUCAGUGGUGAAAUCUCAUAGCUUAACUAUGAAACUGCCAUUGAUACUGCGGGUCUUGAGUAAGGUAGAGGUAGCUGGAAUAAGUAGUGUAGCGGUGAAAUGCAUAGAUAUUACUUAGAACACCAAUUGCGAAGGCAGGUUACCAUGUCUUAACUGACGCUGAUGGACGAAAGCGUGGGGAGCGAACAGG